rnacentral:tRNA from 1 species
GUGGAGAUGACCCUGCCUGGUGGUGGGUACUGGCUUCAAACCAGUGGGCGACUAGCGUCGCAGUUGUUCGAUUCAACCUUCUCCAC